rnacentral:rRNA from 1 species
AACGAACGCUGGCGGCGCGCUUAACACAUGCAAGUCGAACGAGAAGCUGUAGCAAUACAGUUGUAAAGUGGCAAACGGGUGAGUAAUGCGUGGGUAAUCUACCCUAGGGUGGGGAAUAACUCCUCGAAAGGGGAGCUAAUGCCGACAUGUGCGCCACUCUCGCAAGGGAGUGAUGGAAAGCCGUACCGUGGGUGCGGCGCCCAAGGAUGAGCUCACGUCCUAUCAGCUGUUGGCGGGGUAACGGCCCACCAAGGCUGCGACGGGUAGCUGGUCUGAGAGGACGACCAGCCACACUGGCACUGCGACACGGGCCAGACUCCUACGGGAGGCAGCAGUGAGGAAUAUUGCGCAAUGGAC